GAUUUUCUCCUUUUGACGGAUAUGAAUGAGUGGAUUAAUAACGAAUGUGCUUAGUGGAUUUUUCUUCACCAUACAUUUGUAACUAGUUCACUCAUUCACAUCCGUCAAAAGGAGAAAAUC